UACGUAGGGGGCAAGCGUUAUCCGGAUUUACUGGGUGUAAAGGGAGCGUAGACGGCAGCGCAAGUCUGGAGUGAAAGCCGCGGCCCAACUGCGGGACUGCUUUGGAAACUGCCCGGCUAGAGUGCUGGAGAGGUAAGCGGAAUUCCUAGUGUAGCGGUGAAAUGCGUAGAUAUUAGGAGGAACACCAGUGGCGAAGGCGGCUUACUGGACAGUAACUGACGUUGAGGCUCGAAAGCGUGGGUAGCAAACAGG
rnacentral:rRNA from 1 species